UUCCAGCUGACGAAUCCCGAAUAGGACGAAAUGCGCGUCCUGCUA
rfam:Schistosoma mattheei strain Denwood, Zambia genome assembly, scaffold: SMTD_scaffold0006995